UGCGUAGGCGGUUUGGUAAGUCAGAUGUGAAAUUCCUGGGCUCAACCGAGGAACUGCAUUUGAUACUGCCAGACUAGAGUACUGGAGAGGAGACUGGAAUUUACGGUGUAGCAGUGAAAUGCGUAGAUAUCGUAAGGAAGGCCAGUGGCGAAGGCGAGUCUCUGGACAGUAACUGACGCUGAGGCACGAGGGCUAGGGGAGCAAACG
rnacentral:rRNA from 1 species